GACAGAGGGUGCAAACGUUGUUCGGAUUUACUGGGCGUAAAGCGUGUGUAGGCGGCUUUGCAAGUCGGAUGUGAAAUCCCACGGCUCAACCGUGGAAGUGCAUCCGAAACGGCAUCGCUUGAGUCUCGGAGAGGAAGGUGGAAUGCUUGGUGUAGAGGUGAAAUUCGUAGAUAUCAAGCAGAACACCUGCGGCGAAGGCGGGACUCUGGGCCGAUACUGACGCUGAGGAGCGAAAGCGUGGGGAGCAAACAGG
rnacentral:rRNA from 1 species